GCUUGCUCAGGCAAUGCAUAUACUAAAAUUUGAAAGAUACAGAGGAAUUUAUUAAUACCUCUGGGCAAGGAUGACAUUCAGAUUCAUGGCCAUUCCAUGUUUUC
ensembl:snRNA U6 U6 spliceosomal RNA